GACAGAGGGUGCAAACGUUGUUCGGAAUUACUGGGCGUAAAGCGCGUGUAGGCGGUCCGGUAAGUCCGCUGUGAAAGUCGGGGGCUCAACCCUCGGAUGCCGGUGGAUACUGUCGGGCUAGAGUCCGGAAGAGGCGAGUGGAACUCCUGGUGUAGCGGUGGAAUGCGCAGAUAUCAGGAAGAACACCAACGGCGAAGGCAGCUCGCUGGGACGGUACUGACGCUGAGACGCGAAAGCGUGGGGAGCGAACAGG
rnacentral:rRNA from 1 species